rnacentral:rRNA from 1 species
UUCCGGUUGAUCCUGCCGGAGGCUACCGCUAUUGGAAUCCGAUUAAGCCAUGCGAGUCGAGAGGUUACCCCUCGGCGGACGUCUCAGUAACACGUGGAUAAUCUACCCUUGGGUGGGGGAUAAACUCGGUAACCUGAGUAUAAUACCCCAUAGGUCUAGGAUGCUGGAAUGCUUCUAGGCUCAAAGCUCUGGCGCUCAAGGAUGAGUCUGCGACCUAUCAGGCUGUAGUGGGUGUAACGGACCCACUAACCUUCGACGGGUACGGGCCUUGAGAGAGGUUGCCCGGAGUUGGACUCUGAGACACGAGUCCAGGCCCUACGGGGUGCAGCAGGCGCGAAAACUUCACAAUGCGGGAAACCGCGAUGAGGGGAUUCCAAGUGCUACACAAUGUGUUAGCUGUUCACCUGCCUAAAAAGCUGGUGAAGUAAGGGCCGGGUAAGACGGGUGCCAGCCGCCGCGGUAAUACCUGCGGCCCGAGUGGUGGUCGUUAUUAUUGAGCCUAAAGCGUCCGUAGCCGGUUCAGUAAAUCUCUGGGUAAAUCGGGCGGCUUAACCGUCCGAAUUCCGGAAAGACUGCUGAACUUGGGACCGGGGGAGGUUGGAGGUACUCCUGGGGUAGGGGUGAAAUCCUGUAAUCCUAGGGGGACCACCAGUGGCGAAGGCGUCCAACCAAAACGGCUCCGACGGUAAGGGACGAAGCCCUGGGGCGCAAACGGGAUUAGAUACCCCGGUAGUCCAGGGUGUAAACGCUGCAGGCUUGGUGUUGGGGGUCCUACGAGGGCGCCCAGUGCCGGAGAGAAGUUGUUAAGCCUGCCGCUUGGGGAGUACGUCCGCAAGGAUGAAACUUAAAGGAAUUGGCGGGGGAGCACAGCAACGGGUGGAGCGUGCGGUUCAAUUGGAUUCAACGCCGGA